GCUUUCUGCUGCACCGUGUUCGGGAGAACUCCUGUAGAAAGCAGAUCCUCGGGUGUUCUUGAAACUGGUUUAGCUGAUUUAAGGAAACUUACUUCUGUUUCUCUCAAUGAAAUACUAAAUGAGUUAACCGCUGUUAGGUUUUUUGCAAGUGAACACGAAAUGCUUGAUAAAUCACAUUCCUUUUCUCUAGGUCGUUAUCUCAGAUGUCGUGCUACUGCUUUUUGUCACACAUGGUUGUAACUGGUCUUGCUCACCUUGGUGUGAGGAUAUAUUAUUUGUCUUGUAGGUACUGAAUGAUGAAAAAUUAAGUGCUUCUCCACUGUAUCUGUGAGAACAUAUUCCCAGCGAAUCUCUCAGGUGGCUUUUCAUAUGAUGUGCAAAGUAAUCCAUAGAUGUUUGGCUGAGAUGGGCUAAUAUUAAAAUGAAAGUACAUUGUCACACUCCUCCCACACCUCCGAGCAACAGACUGAACUAUACAUAAGAGACAGUACUCCCUAACAUCUGACUGAAGCAUGUUUGCUUUCACUGUGCCAAGAGGAGCAUGGAAACGGUAUCAACACCUUGCUUUAAAAUGCUGUGAACAAAGAUUAAAAAAAAACAUGAACAGAAGAAGGAAACUUAUAUCGGGAGCUCAACUUGUGAUUUACACUGACAAUUUCAUUGGUGUGUGGAUUAAGAAAUGCGCUUAUGAAGUAUGGUGAUGAGAAAUUGGAGGAAGUUCAGCAAAGAGCAACCAGGACUGGAGGCCUUCGAUGCUGAAGUGAACUACAAUAUCUAACCCUGCAGUUCAACUAUGAGGAGAGGACCUUGCUAGUCAUCCCUGUGAACAGAGGCCUAGUGACAGACUGAAUCCAGCUCCAGUUGGCUGCAGAAUCCAAUCCAGGACUUUGGGUGCUGGCUCUGCAGUUGCUGGGACUUUCAAGAUUGGUUUUGUAUAUUUUGUAUUAUUUUGCCUAUUCUUACUAGUAGCAUUAGUAAAACAUCUUUAAUUUUUCCAACUCUUUUCUCUCUGUCCUUCUUUUCCUCCCGAUUGCCUGUCCUUCUUGGGAAAGGGGGAGAGGGAGGGGCAAAGGGGGAAAGCGUGGGGGAGAGGGGGUUAACAAUAUAUCUGCCAGGGUUUUAUUGACACCCCUCAAUCUAAACCCUUGACAGGCAUCAUUUAAAAAAUCUAAUUAUGUUUUCCUGUUGCAGACACUUGUUGUAGCUGUUGUAACAAAGCCUGUUUUGACAGAAGAUUUGAUCACUCAAGAGCCCCUGGAUUUGGUGGAACUUCUCUUAACAGGGACCGAUGCCCCUAAGUACACCUCAGCAAAAGCAAUGAAGGCUGGGUCUAAUCUCCUGAUUUCAGAGCCACAGUUUGGGUUGAAUUUAAACAUGCAGCCCUUCAAAGUCCUUUAAACUCUAAUUAGCUAGUUUUGAGAAGAUGUGGUGGGGCUGCUCUCACCCUUAAUGAUGCCUGAAACUAUACAAGUAUCUUUGGAGACUGAGUCCCAGCCCCAUGGGUAAGCAGAGCUAGUGGUUACCUGUCCCUUACCCUGCAGCUGUCUUCAAAAUGCAAGCAGCCUGGAUGUUCACUAAUUUUAACCACAGCUGAAAAAUCCAGUUGGAAAAGUCAAAAGGGAAAAGGGCUGGGUGUGAACACUUAUUAAUAAAGGGUGUGGGAGCCUGCCUCCACCUCUGUUGAGGCCGCGAGAGAGGGUCUUGUGGGCCGUGGGUGCGCAGAUGCUAGAUCUUGAUUGAAGCAGCUUUUUUUUCCCCAAAAAUCUCAGCAGAGGAGAGAAUUUCCUCCACAAUAUAAUUUAAAUGUUCAGCACCCCCAAAGAGAUUCCCCCCACCCCCUAGCUCAGCUGUGGGACACGGUGUGGAUUUCUGGGCAAGGUGGCCUGAAGUAGCUGCUGGAAUGGCUGGGAAGAGGAUUCAGCAUGGUGGCAUCUCCUUUUGGGUCUAUACCAACAAAUAGCACUGGGACAAGCCACAAGGCUGAGAAUGGUGUGAGAAUGGUCCCUGACAGGUGUUAUUUGACAGUAUAGAUGUAGUCUUCCAAUGCUAUUUAGCUAUGACAUGAGCAGACCCUACUGCAGAGAUGCCAGGCUGUCACAAGAGCUACCCCUCCUGCUUUAUUCAAAAGAGCAGGAUUAUCUCAUGACUUCAGAGGUGGUGAGAUCUAUCCAUCUCCAUCUUAUCCCAGUACUGGCUUCUACCUCGUGCAAAAAUAUCUAAAAGAAGUAUUUUCUAUACCAAAUAUGCUACCACUUGUACUUCAGAAAGCUAGAAUUCUGCUAACAAAAAGCUUUCAUAGUAAUAGGAAACAUUGCAAGGCAUGAAACAAGCAGAUAAUGCUUCACAGCUGUAUGCAUACCCCUCAGAGCAUUUGGUAUUAAGAGAAAGGUUUAAGGUUAUGUCCUCAGUCUGUGGUGAGGUUAAUGCCCUAAGUCAUGCUGAUAAUAUAGCAUUCAGCAUCAUUCAUACAUUACUAUGAAAGAAAAACAGGAAAAAGAAAGGAAUAGCACAAAACUGUCAGAAAAAAAAAAAAAAAGGUCCUGUAUGGCAAUUUCUUGCAUGGUAUUAAUCAUCAAAGGAAAGCACAGCACUGUGAAAAUCAUCAGUAAUUUGUGUCCACGCUGCUUUAUAAUAUGACCUUAAAACACUUCCUUCCACUAGAGAACUUAUAGUUUAUCAGGGAGGAACGGUUGGGGAAGACCAAUGUUGUGCCCUGAAGAUGGAAGGCUGGAUUUAGUAGACUAAUAACAAAGUGUGUUUUUAAAUAUUAAUACUUUGCUCUUGCAUAUUAUUAAAUACUUUUUACUUAUUAUGUGGUCUAUCAUGAGGACAUAGGAGAUUAGACUGUCAUAUCCUUUUAAAGUGAAAGUAUUAAAUAUAAUAUUUAAGGCGAAGGUUGUAAGUUUUUGAGCCUCUGAGUUCUGCUAAUGAUCAAAUAUUUGUUUUGAAGCAACUUGUAAAGGCAAGCACUAACAGAAUGUACUUUUUCCUCCAGUAAAGGCAUAGUCCACUGACAGGUAAGCACAGAAACAUUUACAUGCAGGGACACUGCUUAUCUUCACUGCCGUAGUUGGAGUACAGCAGGUUAAAGAAGAAAGCUAAGGUUCUCAGGUUUAUGAUACCGUCACCUGUGUGAACUCCCCUAUUAGAGAGAACAUGAAAUGGCAGCCAAGAUUUAAUUAAUUGCUGAAUUUGAAAAUAUUGCAAGAGUUUGAUUCACUUUUCCUAACAGAAACGACCAGGACUACUGAAGUCCUUUAGAAGGUAAACUUGUGUGAAUGUUGUUUCUCAAUAGAAUAGGUUAAAAAAUGACAUCCCAUUUUCCAUGAAUUUCAUUGAAAAAUUUAAUCUUUUUUUACUGUUAUCAUUGAAGUUUAGAAUAUUUUUGAAAUUAUUCUUUCACAUUUUGCAUUUUUACUUUUCUCUGAUGAUCACAAGUAUGUGCACACACGCACACUAGGGAGUUCUUUUGGAAGCUCUAAGCAAAUUUAUCUACUUCUCUGUUUUAUCAAAAUGGCAUAUUUUUUAAAAAAAUUGAACUCCUCUAAGAAAUUUUGGUUUUGAUGGCAGAUAAAGAAGGAAUUCCAUCCUUCUGACAGAACGAGUUCUAACAUUAACUUGGGGGAAAAAAAACCAAAACAAAUUAAAAUAUACUUUUGGUCCUGACUUCAGCUGAUGUGAUUUUGACAGUAGAGUAAGACUUGGUGUAUUUUUUAAAAAACAAAGCAAAGCAACAAAGAAAAAAACCCAAACCAAACAACACAGUUUUUCCUUUCAGGAUGGAACUUUGUUUAAGAACAGACUGUGGUAGUAUUCCCUCUUGGGAUUACUGGGUAAACAAGAAUUGCCUCCUCAGAAAGCACAUCAAGAAAAGCGGGCCUUAUUUUUCAUCUCUCCUAACAUAGUGAGGCUCAUAUAUUUUGUUUUCUGUAGCUAUGUAGUCAGUCAGCACAGAGUGAUUUCUGCAGGGGUUUGAAUCCAUGAGGUGUUACUGACAGCGUACCUGUCCUGGGGCCAAGAAGCCAAAUAUUCCACAACCUCAGGGAGGCAUCAGAGACAGCUUCUGUUCCUGUAAGAGGCUGAAUUGUGUGCAGAAGUGUGCUACCCUUGCAUACCUUUGUGACAUGGCUACCAUCUUCCUGGGUGCAUAAAAAGCCAUCCCGGUCUUCAUAUUUUAAAUGAUAUGCACGUAAAGUGUAAGCGAUAGAUGAUACUGUUGUGAUGCAAGAAGGGACAUGUGAAAUGUAAAUUGGUAUGUGAAGCAUGUUAACUUCAACUAGUAGAAAUGGCUAUUUAAAACAUUUCUUCAUACUUUUUGCACUGUUGUGAGGUCUUUCAUUCAGCUGAGGGUGUAAGAAAGAAGCUGCAAACUCUCCUUUUGUAGUGGAGCUGUUUUCCCUUCUUUUAUUUAUUUAUCAGAUAUUUUUUAGCUGUGUGCCUUAGUUUAUUUUGAAGACUUUGACACUGAUGAAAUUUAAACAUUAUUAUCAACUUAUGGUGCCUUUUCUCACUGAACAGCCAGAUAGAUUUAAAGAUAUUUCCUUUAUAUAAGCUUCCUUAAGGCAAAUAAACAGUUGCCCAAUUCUAAAUAUCAAAGACUGUGGUGUCCUGUCUUGCAUUGAAUUUAAUCUCAAAUUAUUAUCAUGCUGUUGCAACAGCCAUGGGUUUAAUGUGGUGCUCAAAGUGGUUACACAGAAAGUGUGGCCGAAGAAUAUCAGGCACCUUUAUGUACAGCUCUUCUUGCCUGGCUGCCCAUGCUGCAUGGUCUGCCACAGGUUCUUUCAGAAGGCAAACAAGAUGAUGUCAAUAGUGCUAACGAGGCAGUGCAGACUUAACCUUUUCAGUGUCAUGCACGAAUGGAGAGUGAGGAUUGUAUAAAAUUCCAGACAGGGUUCAAAACCUGGAGUGCCUAGGUCACUUGUCCUAUAAGGAAAAAUUAUUGGGCAAGAUAGUGCAUAAUCUUAUAAUUUUCUUGUACUUUUUCUAAUAGAUUCCUCUUCAGCAGCUGUUAGCUUCAGCUGGCACAAAUUGAUAAGAUCAUGAUCGUUGUUUAGUUGUUUUCCGCGUGUCCGAAACAUCUCUUGUGCUUUUGCCAGUUCACAAGUACAUCAACAUGCCAGGAAUCUAUUCAAGUCAUCUAGAACUUUGGAUAAAAUUUCUAAUAGUAUUUCAUCAGUCCUGUACUGGCUGAGCUAUGGAUCAGAAGUCAAAUACAUUAUAUCCAUUACACACACUUUGUGAAGCUUUGUUACUUUUGAAAGUAAUUCAGUAGCAAAUCCCUAGCAAUUUCAUUGAUAGAUCCUUUAAGGCAAUAGCUAUUCAAUCACUAAAUGCAAAUUCAAUGAGCAAGAAACAAAGAAGAACCUUUCCUGAAAUUUUAGCUUAGAGUAAUCUAUCUUGGAAUAUCUUAAAUUACUUUUCAAACUACAUGGAAAUGGUGUUAUGUUUGAAACGCUAUUAAAUGAGAAUAAUACAAUUUUAUAUAGUGUCUUUCAUACUCAUGACAUCCUCAAAUGCUUUACAGUAAUGAAUUAGAUACUGGUUGUUAGGCAAUGGUGUGUAGGCAAAUGCAGCACUCAUUAUAUGUUAUUAGUUUUUGAAAUAGCAUACACUCUCGAAAGCAUAGCCUAUUUUAGGUGAAGAGGGAUUGUUGGAAGGAGUUGGAGCUCUUCCUUUUAAAAAUGCUGUAGGAACCUUUACUUCUGUCUGGACACAUAGCCAACAAAGGAAAAAGUUCGCUUAAGAGCUCAUCUUUAGGACCUCUAUCAAUGAGAUGUGCUGCGUUAUUGCAUUAUUUUACUAUUACUAAAAUUCAAGCUGUAUGUAAAACCCUCCUAGAUUUAUGGGAGUUGCUUUUCAUGCCUCCCUGUCCCAAAGCUAAAAAUUAGUGUCUAUCUUGUUUAUUUUUAUUAUUCUGUUUUGCCCAUCCCGAGAAAGGUGAUUGGUCCCAACUGUCUGUUUCGUCUUGUCGUCUAGAAUUAACUCUUGGGUAAGGACUGACUGUAAUGACUACGUUUGUGCAAGACCCAGUACAGUGUGAUCUCAAGCAGAUUGGCUUCCUCCUCAGUUUUAAAGGCAGAAAAUCAAGCAGCAAUUCUGGAAAAGCUUGUCAACUCCCCUUAGACUCAAGAUACAAAGCCUACAGAGUCGUGUAUUAAAUUCAUUGCAAAUACAUUGUCAUUCUGUAACUAGGAGGAACAAAUAUUUGCAAAUUAAACAGUGGUGAUGGUAUGUUGUGGUUCUGAGUGUAUAAAACCUUUCUAGCAGCAUAAAUAAAUGUUACUGACUGCUGUUGAGUAUGUAUGAAUAUUUUUAAUGUACUUACAUCUACCAGAACCCAAAUAAAUAAAAACUAGUUUGAACACAAUGAAGAGAAAAACUAAUCUGAGAGUUUGCAGGAGAGAGAAUACUGAUAUCUAUGAAACAAACAAAAAACCCACCAAACAAAAAAACCCCAAACCAAUCCAAAAAUGACAAAAAGGACAGAGUGAACAAUGUUAUGAUUUUGGCAUUUUAAGUAAGAUCUAAGCUGUACUAAGCCUCAGGCUUUCAGUUUUUCUUAAAUAACCUCAAGAACCUCAUAUUUUUAAACUAUUAACUUUGAUUGCAGAGAAUAGGAAUCUAAAAAUAAUAUUAAAAAAUCCUAGCUUUGGCAGCAAACCUCAGAACUACAGGCAUUUAAGUAUCCUUUAUUUGUUGUGAUAAUGGUGCCAGAAGAUGCAGAUAAUUUUACUCACAAUUGUGUUUUACAUUUUUAUGCUUUUAAAUACUUGUUGCUUCUGCUGUCAACUGCAGAAGAGUCACUUAAGCAUUAAUAUGAAAAGGCCAUUAAAGAACUAAUGGGAACAUUGAACAGGGAUAGGUAAAUGAAGAAAUAUUUUGUGUAUCUGAAGGACCACAGGUGGGAGUUAAGUAAUGUUAUGGCCUUAUUACAUGAUUAUAGGUAGGUAUAUUUUCUUAGUUUCUUUGCUCUAGAGGUUGCAGUAUACCAGCUUAAUUUUCAUCUCCCAUUACAAAGAACCUACAGAAUGUUUGAAGAUUUAUGUAAUUCCCUUAAAUCCCAGUAAAAAUACAUCUCUUCUAAGCCAAUGAGUUGGGUUGACU